UGUCACUCUGAAGCACAUUAGGUCGCAUGUUUGCAUGUUAAUUAUCACUCACCUGGAUCUGAGUGAGUUUCUGCAGACAGCUGAGCAGCUCCUCUUUAUUACUGUGGAGUAGAUGAGCCGCCAGGCGCUCCUAUAUCAUCUGCAGACCACAGUGAAGCUGCCGUCUCCUCCUCAUGGACAAGGGCUGCAUGCAGGUCCCUCAGCCUGCAGAAUGCUGCCAAUGUUUAGACUCACUCUUCUCCUGCCUUGGCGCCCUCCUCCUCAGAUUCCUCCCCUGUCAGAUGAACGGGUCAGCUGCGAAGGAGGAGGAGGAGGAGGAGGAGAGUGGGUCGGUAUUUCAGGACUCCACGCUGGGUAGGGAUGGAUCUCCUUCUUGCGUUUCUGCCUUCUUCCUGCAAGCCGUGAAUCAGCGCUCUACUCCUCCUCUCCUCUCCUCUCCUGAUGCUGCUCCUGAAGAUGUGGAGAAAAUCUCUCUCUCAGAUGACGAACCGCAAUCAAUAGCCUAUUAAUGAACGCGGGAUUUCACCCGUGGCCUGUUCCGUGAAGUUGGCCCACUCAGCUGCGUGUCGGACUUUGCACAUCUGAGCUAAGGCGUUAUUUUCUCUCCUUCCUCUAAAAGCUUCUGCGGGCUGUCAUCCUCUGGAGCCGCUGAGAGAGCGGAAGGUGUGAAAUGGUCGCGCCCCCCCUCCUCCUCCUUCCGCAUAAAAAAUAAAUAAAUGGAAAAAUCAAAGCAGUCUUCCGCGAAGCUCGCAUCUACGUCAUCAUCAGCUGGGGAGAGAAAGCUGCUACGCUAUAAUCUCUGCCGCCAGUUUUUACUAGACGCCGCUAGAACAUCCAGAGGAGAUCUGUGCAUGUUUAAGAAACCCGACUGAAGUCUGAAGCUCUGGAUGAACAUAACCUGGAAAUCUGCCUGCCUGCCCACGUAAGCCAAACCUGAAGAUCUCAGUCUGGAUUCCUCCGUCAGUUCUCUAAGAAGAGCUAGGAAACAAACCCAAGUCCGAAAACUCUCUGGCUAGAAGCUAGACGCUGCUGCUGCUGAGCUCUCUGCUACUUCCACAGUCUCUGGACCCAACCGGUUCCCCCUCUCAAAGGAUCUGUUAGAACCUCUUCAAGAUAUAAGAGUAACCAGUCCCGCCUGCACCAGAACCAGUUCCUGAUUAACUCUGUGUGUGUUUCCCAAAUAAACAUUGUUAAACUUU